ensembl:snRNA U6 U6 spliceosomal RNA
AAAGCAACAGCGCUUGCUUUGGCAGCACUGGAAUAAUACAGAGAAGAUUAGCAUGGCCCCUGUGCAAGGAUGACAUGCAAAUUUGUGAAGCAUUCCAUGUUUUU